rnacentral:rRNA from 1 species
UACGGAGGAGGCAAGCGUUAUCCGGAAUUAUUGGGCGUAAAGCGUCCGCAGGUGGCCUAUCAAGUCUGUUGUUAAAGCCCAGGGCUCAACUCUGGAUCAGCAAUGGAAACUGAAAGGCUAGAGUACGGUAGGGGUAGAGGGAAUUCCCAGUGUAGCGGUGAAAUGCGUAGAUAUUGGGAAGAACACCAGUGGCGAAGGCGCUCUGCUGGGCCGUAACUGACACUCAUGGACGAAAGCUAGGGGAGCGAAA